ACAACUCUAUGCGGGUCGAAUAAAAACCCAGACGG
rnacentral:rRNA from 1 species